CCAAUAGCGUAUAUUAAAGUUGUUGCAGUUAAAAAGCUCGUAGUUGAAUUUCGGGAUCAAGGGAUUGGUCAUGCCUUGGUAUGCACUGGUCUUAUUGGUUCUCACCUUCUAAGGAACCAUGAUGUCAUUCAUUUGAUGUUGUGAGGAAUUAGGACUGUUACCUUGAAAAAAUUAGAGUGUUUAAAGCAAGCUUACGCUUGAAUACAUUAGCAUGGAAUAAUGAAAUAGGAAAUCAGAUUCUAUUUUGUUGGUUUCUAGGAUCGAUGUAAUGAUUAAUAGGGAUAGUUGGGGGCAUUAGUAUUCAAUUGUCAGAGGUGAAAUUCUUGGAUUUAUUGAAGACUAACUACUGCGAAAGCAUUUGCCAAGGAUGUUUUCAUUAAUCAAGAACGAAAGUUAGGGGAUCGAAGACGAUCAGAUACCGUCGUAGUCUUAACCAUAAACUAUGCCGACUAGGGAUCGGAUGAUGUUAAUUUUUUAAUGACUCAUUCGGCACCUUACG
rnacentral:rRNA from 1 species